rnacentral:rRNA from 1 species
AGAGUUUGAUCCUGGCUCAGGACGAACGCUGGCGGCGCGCUUAACACAUGCAAGUCGUACGGGAUCGGGGCUUCGGCCCUGGUCCAGUGGCGAACGGGUGCGUAACACGUGAGCAACCUGCCUGCCGGUGGGGGAUAACCCGGGGAAACCCGGGCUAAUACCGCAUUCGCUCCUGUCCUCGAUUGGGGACUUGAGGAAAGGUGCUGCAAGGCACUGCCGGCAGAGGGGCUCGCGGCGUAUCAGCUAGCUGGUGGGGUAACGGCCUACCAGGGCGACGACGCGUAGCCGAUCUGAGAGGAUGAUCGGCCACAUUGGGACUGAGAUACGGCCCAGACUCCUACGGGAGGCAGCAGUGGGGAAUCUUGCGCAAUGGGCGAAAGCCUGACGCAGCGACGCCGCGUGGGGGAGGAAGCCUUUCGGGGUGUAAACCUCUGUCAGGGGGGAAGAAUGGGCGGGGGAGGAAAUGCCCCCGUUUUGACGGUACCUCCAAAGGAAGCACCGGCUAACUCUGUGCCAGCAGCCGCGGUAAUACAGAGGGUGCGAGCGUUGUUCGGAAUUACUGGGCGUAAAGCGCGCGCAGGCGGCCUUUUAAGUCUACCCGUGAAAUGCCGGGGCUCAACCCCGUUGCACGCCGGGGGAUACUGGGAGGCUGGAGACAGGUAGAGGCAAGCGGAAUUCCGGGUGUAGCGGUGGAAUGCGUAGAGAUCCGGAAGAACACCUGAGGCGAAGGCGGCUUGCUGGGCCUGGUCUGACGCUGAGGCGCGAAAGCGUGGGGAGCGAACAGGAUUAGAUACCCUAGUAGUCC